AGUGAAUGUUUGUCAAUGUCAAACCAUGAGUGCUAGAAGAAAGAAAAGAGUUACUAGAUUGAUCUCACUCCAGAUCAAUUUUAUUACUGCAGAUAUCAUUAGAAUUUUGUCUGAGUUUAGUAUGAAAGAAUCCAUCAGUAAGAGAUGUCAUGAGGAAUUUCUGCAAUAUUUUCAGUGAGAGAAGUUGUUGGUCUGUGUCCUGGGUUCAAGUCUAAGUAUUAGGCACAUGAUUUAUUGGCUUUUGUUUGCACUUUUAAUAGAUAUUGAGAGUUUAGGCACAUGUUUUUAUUGGCUUUUGGUGGCACUUCUAAUAGAAACUGAUACCCUGCCCUUAAUUGAUAUGAUGAUUGUCUGCCAACUUUUAGUUGACCAAACAGGAAGCCAACAUGAAGGCACAAGUUCAACUUGGAUGUUGAUUAAUGGACCAAUUUGAUGUAAGCUCUUCAAUGCACCCAACCAUACAUAUAUUCCUCUUCAAAUCACUGAAAGGCCAUGUUUCAUUUGAUUUGCCUUGUUUUACUUUCUUAUAUUAAUAUAGCUUAUGAGCAUGACAAUCAUAUAAAAAUCUCAUGGACGAAGUUUUUUCUUUUUUUUUUUUUCCGGCCAUGACAGAAAGAUUGCUGUUAAGUUUACCGCAGAACAAAUUGUUAAAAUGAAUUGGCUAUAUACUAAAUCAAAUUGGCCUGUAAGGUAAGGUUUAGGUCCCUUUUUUUUUUUGGUAGGGAAGGGAGCAUCAGCUAGAUUCAAAGAAGACAGAUAACCCGAUUUUCAGAGCUACAACAUGGAGAAUAACUACAAAACUACCCAACACAUAUACUGGGUAACGCAGCCAAAGUUACAAUAUCAUAAAUAACAACCAAAAUAAGAACAUGCUGCAGAUAAUUGAUGUCAAGGAAGACGAAGCGCUGCACUUCGAAAGUAAUCAGUGAGGUUUAAGUCUUUAAGAGGCAUUCACAAUAUAGUGAACUUGACAUUCCACCA
rnacentral:lncRNA from 1 species